GCAUCAGUGGUGUAAUGGUAACAUUCAAGCUUCCCAUUGUCUGGAAUACUGCUUGGGCCCCGGGUCCGAUUCCCGGCUGAUGCA